rnacentral:rRNA from 1 species
GGAUGCCCUCCGUCGUCUCCUUGGCACCCCUUAUAACCUGUUACCCGCGUUCGGACUAGGUCGGUACGGCGCACUCACUACUUCCGGGAAACCAACAUUUUGAGAAAAUUGCUACUUCUAUUACUGCCAUUAGCAUCUUAUUCAAGGCCGUUUGAAGCACGGUCGUCGGCGCCAUUA